CCUUCAGUCUACUGCAGGAGGGAAGGUUGGCCCUCCUUGCGCCUCUCUCAGUCGGUCAAGACCUGGUCUGAUGCUCAGUGAGUGAAAGACGAGACUCACUUGUUGACUGCGAGUGUCAAAACAUUUACAAGGAACAUUCCGCUGCGAGAAACGUUCCUCAGACCUAUGAGAGUGGAGUGUACAACAGGUGGCUGGUACUCUAAGACAGUCACAGACGCUCUUGUGUGGAGUACCGCAAUACACAAAGCCAGGACUGCAAGGAGGCAUAUAUUCUCCUGUCUUAUUCCUCUUCCUCCUCCUCCUCUCAUCCUCGUUCCAGCCUGCAUCGUCAGGAGACUGAAGGAGGAAGACCUACAACCUGCCAGACUGCUGGACGAAGUGAACGACUUGAUUAUGACUGUCUGUGUCAUGGGAUAGAGCAACAUGGGCGAGGAGACUAAAUAUUGUGCUAACUGUAAACGGGAGGUGUCAGCAAGGAACUACA